AUUGAACGCUGGCGGCAGGCCUAACACAUGCAAGUCGAACGAGUGGCGGAGGGGUGAGUAAUGUCUGGGAAACUGCCCGAUGGAGGGGGAUAACUACUGGAAACUGUAGCUAAUACCGCAUACCAUCGGAUGUGCCCAGGUGGGAUUAGCGAGUAGGUGGGGUAACGGCUCACCUAGGCGACGAUCCCUAGCUGGUCUGAGAGGCUGACCGGCCACACUGGGACUGAGACACGGUCCAGACUCCUACGGGAGGCAGCAGUGGGGAAUAUUGCACAAUGGGCGAAAGCCUGAUGCAGCCAUGCCGCGUGAGUGAAGAAGGCCUUCGGGUUGUAAAAUACGGUUAGUAGGGAGGCGUUACCCGCAGAAGAAGCACCGGCUAACUCCGUGCCAGCAGCCGCGGUAAUUC
rnacentral:rRNA from 1 species